GUCGUACGAGAGUUUUUAACUCUAGUGGCGGACGGGUGAGUAACACGUGAGAAUUUACCUUUAGGAGGGGGAUAACAGCGUAUCAAUAGAUAUUACGGAAACGGCUGCUAAUACCCCAUAUGCUUUUGAGUGAAAUAGAUUUAUCUGCCUAAAGAGAAGCUCGCGGCUGAUUAGCUUGUUGGUAGGGUAACGGCCUACCAAGGCGACGAUCAGUAGCUGGUCUGAGAGGAUGAUCAGCCACACUGGGACUGAGACACGGCCCAGACUCCUACGGGAGGCAGCAGUGGGGAAUAUUGGACAAUGGGCGCAAGCCUGAUCCAGCAAUGCCGCGUGUGUGAAGAAGGCCUGCGGGUUGUAAAGCACUUUCAGUGGGGAGGAAAAGCUCAAGAUUAAUACUCUUGGGUCUUGACGUUAUCCACAGAAGAAGCACCGGCUAACUCUGUG
rnacentral:rRNA from 1 species